GAUGAACGCUGGCGGCGUGCUUAACACAUGCAAGUCGAACGAACCUUCGGGUUAGUGGCGGACGGGUGAGUAACGCGUGAGAAUCUGCCCUCAGGAGGGGGAUAACGGCUGGAAACGGCCGCUAAUACCCCAUAUGCCGCGAGGUGAAAUGAAUUUCGCCUGAGGAUGAGCUCGCGUCUGAUUAGCUAGUUGGUGGGGUAAGAGCCUACCAAGGCAUCGAUCAGUAGCUGGUCUGAGAGGAUGAUCAGCCACACUGGGACUGAGACACGGCCCAGACUCCUACGGGAGGCAGCAGUGGGGAAUUUUCCGCAAUGGGCGAAAGCCUGACGGAGCAACGCCGCGUGAGGGAUGAAGGCCUCUGGGCUGUAAACCUCUUUUAUCAAGGAAGAAGAUCUGACGGUACUUGAUGAAUAAGCCACGGCUAAUUCCGUG
rnacentral:rRNA from 1 species